rnacentral:rRNA from 1 species
CCUACGGGAGGCAGCAGUGAGGAAUAUUGGUCAAUGGGCGGAAGCCUGAACCAGCCAAGUCACGUGAGGGAAUAAGGCCCUGCGGGUCGUAAACCUCUUUUGCCGGGGAGCAAGGGAGGGGACGCGUCCGGACCCGGAGAGUACCCGGAGAAAAAGCAGGGGCGAACUCCGGGCCAGCAGCCGCGGUAAUACGGAGGGUGCGAGCGUUCUCCGGAUUGAUGGGGUUUAAAGGGUGCGUAGGCGGGCUGUCAAGGCGGCGGUCAAAUCUCGGGGCUCAACCUCGGCCUGCCGUCGAAACUGGCGUCCUUGAGUGGGCGAGACGUAUGCGGAAUGCGUGGUGUAGCGG